CAGCAGUCGCCGCGGGAAUACGGAGGGUGCGAGCGUUAAUCGGAAUUACUGGGCGUAAAGCGUACGCAGGCGGUUUGUUAAGUCAGAUGUGAAAUCCCCGGGCUUAACCCGGGAACUGCAUUUGAAACUGGCAGGCUAGAGUCUCGUAGAGGGGGGUAGAAUUCCAGGUGUAGCGGUGAAAUGCGUAGAGAUCUGGAGGAAUACCGGUGGCGAAGGCGGCCCCCUGGACGAAGACUGACGCUCAGGUACGAAAGCGUGGGGAGCAAACAGGAUUAGAUACCCCAGUAGUCCCUGUCUCUUAUAC
rnacentral:rRNA from 1 species